AAAAAAAAAAAAAAAAAAGAAAUUGCUGCUUAAACAAUGAAAACAAAAACUUUUUGAACUCUAUUCCUUAAUUGAGUAUAGAACGGUUUAGUUACAAGAGUUGAAUUCGAGGAAAGCAGAAAAUAUAGGAAAGACUCAGGUUAAAUAAAAAAAACUAAGACUCUAAACUCAAAUCAAAAAUAAUGAACCUUCAACCUCAAAUUCCUAUUUGAAUAACUUUUUAUUGGUAUUGAUCCAUUUGAAUCAUUACUAAACUAAAAUAGCUUACUCAAUCUCGACGAUUGCUUAUUCAUAGGCUAUUAUGAGUUCAAGACAAGCCGCUAUGGUGAAAUCGGUAGACACGCUGCUCUUAGGAAGCAGUGCUAAUGCAUCUCGGUUCGAGUCCGAGUGGCGGCAUACCAUCUUCUAAAAAGGAUAAAUAGAUCUUAUAAUGAAUUCAAUUCCCGAUUUCCAUUUUAGAAUUAUGUAAUUAAGGGACUCUUCUUUUUUAAGAUUUUUUAUGAUAUUUUCAACCUUAGAGCAUAUAUUAACUCACAUUUCCUUUUCGAUCGUUUCAAUUGUAAUUACAAUUCAUUUGAUAACCUUUUUAGUCGAUGAAAUUGUAAAACUAUACGAUUCGUCAGAAAAGGGCAUAAUAGUUACUUUUUUCUGUAUAACAGGAUUAUUAGUUACUCGUUGGGUUUCUUCAGGACAUUUCCCACUAAGCGAUUUAUAUGAAUCAUUAAUUUUCCUUUCAUGGAGUUUCUCCCUUAUUCAUAUAAUUCCAUAUUUCAAAAAAAAUGUUUUAAUUUUAAGUAAAAUAACUGGACCAAGUGCUAUUUUGACCCAAGGCUUUGCUACUUCAGGUAUUUUAACUGAAAUACACCAAUCUGGAAUCUUAGUACCUGCUCUUCAAUCUGAGUGGUUAAUAAUGCACGUAAGUAUGAUGAUAUUGGGCUAUGCAGCCCUUUUAUGUGGAUCGUUAUUAUCAGUAGCACUUCUAGUGAUUACAUUUCGAAAAAACAGAAAGCUUUUUUCUAAGAGCAAUGUUUUUUUAAACGAGUCAUUUUUCUUGGGUGAAAAUGUUGUCGAAAAUACUUCGUUUUUUUGUGCUAAAAAUUAUUACAGGUCCCAAUUGAUUCAACAAUUGGAUUAUUGGAGUUAUCGGGUUAUUAGUUUAGGAUUUACUUUUUUAACCAUAGGAAUCCUUUCGGGAGCGGUAUGGGCUAAUGAAGCGUGGGGUUCCUAUUGGAAUUGGGAUCCAAAAGAAACUUGGGCAUUUAUUACUUGGAUCGUAUUUGCCAUUUAUUUACAUACUCGAACAAAUAGAAAUUUGCGGGGUCCAAAUUCUGCAAUUGUAGCGUCGAUAGGUUUUCUUAUAAUUUGGAUAUGCUAUUUUGGGGUCAAUCUAUUAGGAAUAGGGUUACAUAGUUAUGGUUCUUUUCCAUCAACAUUUAAUUGAAUUCAAGACAAGUUAUUACAAAUACAAGAGCGGGCGACGCAUUGUAUGAACCAGCAUGCGGACCGUGUGAAUCAAAUAUUGUAUUGAUGAUUCACACGGUUUUCUACCAUAUGUAGUUCAAUUUCAUUGUUUUUACUUAAUUCUUAAGUUAAAAGAGAAGAAAAAAAGAAGACUUUUUUUCAUUGUCCAAGAAUGUUUUUAAAAACAAACAUAGGUUUUUUUAUUUCAGUCAUCCAAUUAUCUAUAAAAAAAAUUAGAUAGAAUAACUUCGACCUUGUCAACUGCUAAUGAAAGAACGAAAUCGGGGUAUAUACCAAUACCUAUUACGGGUAAAAAGAUGGAGAUCGAAAGAAAUAACUCUCGCGGUCCAGAAUCAAAAAAAGAAUCCUUCGGGGCGUUAAAUAACUUGUAUCCAUAGAACAUCUGGCGUGGCAUAGAUAAUGAAUAAAUAGGAGUUAAUAUAAUUCCAAUUGCCAUUACAAAAGUAAUUAGUAGUUUUGGCAUUAAAAGAUAUUUUUGGCCGGUAAUUAUUCCAAAAAAUACUAUCAAUUCGGCAACAAAACCACUCAUACCUGGUAAUGCAAGGGAAGCCAUCGAAAAGCUACUGAACAUCGUGAACAUUUUUGGCAUUGGAAUAGCUAUUCCGCCCAUUUCGUCAAGAUAAACAAGGCGGAUUCUAUCAUAAGUCGUUCCCGCCAAGAAAAAAAGUGCAGCACCAAUAAAUCCAUGAGAGAUUAUUUGUAAAAGGGCUCCAUUUAGUCCCGUAUCGGUUAGAGAACUAAUUCCUAUAAUUAUGAAACCCAUAUGAGAGACAGAGGAAUAGGCUAUUCUUUUUUUUAAAUUCCGUUGGCCAAGAGAUGUUGAAGCUGCAUAGAUUAUUUGUAUUGUACCUAUUAUCAUCAACCAAGGAGAAAAUAUAGAAUGGGCAUGAGGUAAUAAUUCCAUAUUGAUUCGAAUUAAUCCAUACGCUCCCAUUUUUAAUAAGAUUCCGGCUAGAAGCAUACAAGUACUGUAAUGUGCUUCUCCAUGGGUAUCUGGUAACCAUGUGUGUAGGGGGAUAAUGGGCGAUUUGACAGCAAAAGCAAUAAAAAAUCCAAUAUAGAAGAUUAUUUCUAAAACCACAGGAUAUGACUGAUUAACUGAUGUUUCAAAAUUUAAUGUUGGUUCAUUAGAACCAUAUAAAGCAACACCCAAAACUCCCAUUAAGAGAAAAACGGAACCCCCCGCCGUGUACAAAAUAAAUUUUGUAGCUGAGUACAGACGUUUCUUUCCUCCCCACAUGGCUAGAAGUAGAUAAACAGGAAUUAAUUCUAACUCCCACAUGAUGAAAAAAAGUAAAAGGUCCCGAGACGAAAAUAAUCCAAUUUGACCACUGUACAUUGCUAACAUGAGAAAAUGGAAUAAUCUAGAAUCUCGAGUAACUGGCCAAGCCGCUAAAGUCGCUAAAGUAGUGAUAAAUCCUGUUAAUAAAAUGGGUCCUAUAGAAAGUCCAUCUAUUCCUAAUCUCCAAUGGAAAUCAAAAAAAUCGAUCCAUUUAUAAUCCUCUACUAGUUGGAUUAAUGGAUCAUCCGAUUGGAAAUGAUAACAAAAUGCAUAAGUUGUUAGAAGGAGUUCUAAAAUACAUAUACAUAUUGUAUACCACCUAAUUACCCUAUUUCCUUUAUGGGGAAGAAAGAAAAUUAAAGAACCCGCAAAUAUCGGAAAAACGACAAUUAUUGUUAACCAAGGAAAAUAAUUCGUAGUAAAGACAAGAUACACUUGGACCAAAAAAACCCGUGCUCAAAAUAUUUUUAUUUUCGAGCACAGGUUUGUCGGUAAAAAAAUUAAAUGGAUUCAAGUAGAGUUUUCUCGAACGUAUCAAUAAGCUAGACCCAUACUGCGAGUUGUUUCAUGCCAUAAAUAAACUCGGACACUCAAGAAAUCUGUUGGACAGGCGGAUUCACAUCUCUUACAACCAACACAGUCCUCUGUUCGUGGAGCAGAAGCAAUUUGUUUAGCCUUACAACCGUCCCAAGGUAUCAUUUCUAAUACAUCAGUGGGGCAGGCUCGGACACAUUGAGUACAUCCUAUACACGUAUCAUAAAUCUUUACUGAAUGUGACAUUGGGCCUAUACGUUUUUGAAUGUUCUAAAUUUUCGAUCUAGUAAACUUAGAAACGAAUCGUAUAUUUAGAUACCAGAUGAAUCAAUGAGUUAUCAUAAUUUUCUAAUCAACCCCUUUCUGGAUUGGUUUAUGAGAUAUGAGAGAGGCCAAAAUACUUUGAUUUCUUAUGUUUUGCAAACAAGAUCAUACUUUACGUAGUAAACAUGCUAAUUAAAAUAGAUUUCUCAAUAUUAGAAUCUAGAUGAUUAAUAUUAAUUAUUCAACAAAUUUGAUUGGUUGAUACGAGUUGAUUUUCUGUUACGGUAAAUUGAUGAAACAAUAGCCAGGCCAAUGGCUGCUUCAGCGGCUGCAAUAGCUAUAACAAAAAUUGAGAAAAUGUCUCCCUUUAAUUGACGAUUAUCAAAAAAAUCAGAAAAUGUUACAAAAUUGAUAUUAACUGCAUUCAAUAUAAGUUCAAGACACAUAAGGGCUCUAACCAUAUUUCGACUUGUGAUCAAUCCAUAGAUACCGAUGGAAAAUAAAUAGGCACUCAAAACAAGUACAUGUUCGAGAAUCAUUAAACAACUCCUUAUCAAUCCCGACUCCUUUCAAUAUGAACAACAAUUCAACUAACUUAAUUGACUAGUAUAUAACAAGUAUGGAACAAAGAAAUAUAUUGUUACUAGAUUGACCUAAAGUCUUUCUAUUUAUCCAGCUAGAAUUCAAAUAGAAUUGAAGGAAAAUUAAUGUGAUAAGACAGAACAAAAUUUUAUUUGAAUUCCAAGUUUUAAUAGAAAUUUUUUAUUGACGAGCUACAGCAAUUGCACCUAUUAAAGCAACUAAAAGGAUUAUGGAAAUAAGUUCAAAUGGGAGAAAAAAAUCUGUUGAUAAAUGAAUUCCAAUUUGUUGACUAUUACUUAGAAAAUCUUGCUCUAUAAUCUGGUUUGAUCUUGUAGUCCAAAUAAUCCCGUACCAUGACGUAUCUGAAAUAGUAGUAAUUAGUGAAAUAAAAAGACUUAUACAAACCAUCGAAGUAAUUCCAUCUCCUACGGUCCAAAGAUGAAAAUCCUUGUAAUAUUCUGAGCCAUUCAUGAACAUCACAGCAAAAAUGAUUAAAACAUUUAUAGCUCCUACGUAAAUAAGUAGCUGCGCAGCAGCUACAAAAUAGGCGUUAGAUAGAAUAUAGAAUAACGAUGUACAAACAAGAACCAAUCCCAAGGAAAAGGCCGAAUAAAUUGGAUUGGGAAGUAAUACCACUCCUAGACCCCCUAAUAUAAGACCCGAUCCUAGAAAGACUAAAAGAAAAUCAUGUAUUGGUUCAGAUAAAUCCAUUUUUUAUAAAAAAUCAAAAACGAAGAAUUUCAUGACUUUAUUGACCUGACCAGGAAAAAAGCAGUUUUUCUAUUUUUUAUGAUACUUUGAAAUUGUUAAUUGAAUGAAAGUCUAAUGGGUAUGAAUUGACGUAGAUGCUUUUAUUUUAUUGGACCACUAUCCAUUCUUUAUUCGUCGAAAGAGGAGUUUAAACCUAUCUAUUUUUGAUAUCAUUUAUCUACUUUGAAACCAUUACUAUUAUAAUAUAUAAUAUUGAACUCGGUUUUGUUUUCAAUCUAAAUUAAGCUUAAGCUAGGAGUCUCAUUAAGAAACCACUAGUUUGAAUUGCCCAAGCAAAAAUCUCAUUGUUUUAGAUCCGAACUAAGCCUUCGUAAUUUGUAAUUUUUUUGAAUCAAAUUAAGGGUUUAUUCAUUGUUUAUUUGAGGUAAAUUCGAAAUUGUUCGAAUUGUGUAAUCAUCAAUUACUGACAUUGGUAAGCGACCCAAAGCGAUUUGAUUAUAAUUCAAUUCGUGACGAUCAUAAGUAGAAAGUUCAUAUUCUUCGGUCAUUGAUAAACAAUUUGUUGGGCAAUACUCAACGCAAUUACCACAAAAUAUACAGAUUCCAAAAUCAAUACUGUAAUUAAGCAAUCGUUUCUUUCGAAUAUCAGUUUCCAACUUCCAAUCAACAACGGGUAAAUCUAUAGGACAUACACGCACACAUACUUCACAAGCAAUGCAUUUAUCAAAUUCAAAGUGUAUUCGGCCUCGGAAACGUUCCGAUGUGAUCAAUUUUUCGUAGGGGUAUUGAAUAGUUACAGGUAAACGAUUUGCGUGGGACAGGGUAAUCAUGAAACCUUGGCCGAUAUAUCUGGCGGCUCGUAUUGUUUGUUGACCAUAAUUUAUGAAUUCAGUUAUCAUAGGGAGCAUAUGUUGAAUAUCUAUAAAAAAGAUUUUAUGCUUGUUUCUUUCUCUUGUUUGAGACAAGUCGUGAAUCUAGGAUAUUGUGGUCUUUUACAGUGAAAGAAGUUGGGACGAGGUUGUCAAUAAUAGAUUACCUAGAGAAAUCGGUAAAAGAAAUUUCCACCCAAGAUUUAAUAGUUGGUCCAUUCUCAGCCUCGGUAAAGUCCAUCUUGUUGCAAUGGGAAUGAACAAAAACAAAUAAGUUUUGGCUAAUGUGAUAAAGAUACCAAUUAGUGUUCCAAAGACUUUACCUCCUUUAUUUAUGCCAAAUAUAUCAGGAACAAAUAUGUACGGAAUAGAAAGAUUCCAACCUCCCAAGUAAAGAACUGUUACAAAUAAUGAAGAAACUAGUAGAUUCAGAUAUGAAGCAAUGUAAAAUAAACCAAAUUUGAUACCAGAAUAUUCGGUUUGAUACCCUGCUACUAAUUCUUCUUCUGCUUCUGGUAAAUCAAAAGGUAAUCUUUCACACUCGGCGAGAGAAGAAAUUAGAAAAACGAUAAACCCGAUGGGUUGACGCCACAAAUUCCACCCCCAAAAACCAUAUUUUGACUGCGCUUCCACUAUAUCAACUGUACUUAAACUGUUAGAUAAUCAUAGUCGAUGAUAACAUCACUGUGCCCAUCGCUAUUACAGAACCGUACGUGAGAUUUUCACCUCAUACGGCUCCUCAGAGGUCACAACUAAAUCUAAGGGCCCUUUCCUAUUCUUUAUCUUGAUAUGUUUGUCAGAUAGAGUCAAAAUCUAUUCUAAGGUCCCAAAUUAGACCAAUGGAAUUCUGUCUGCUAUAUUUAAAACUAAUAAAUAAGUGCUUCUGAAUUUAUCUCAUCUUUUAAGAAUUUUAAUUUUUCUUUGUUGAUUAAUAACCUUAUCAUUAAAUAAAAAAAUGUGCUUUAUAGCAAUAUCACAUAUACAUUUCAACCUCGAAUUUUCAAUUACGAAAAAAAUUAGAGAGUACAUUAGUUCAUGAAUCAUGACAAAAAUUUUAUCUCUCUAAAUAGAAAUAAAAAUUGAAUUAUAGGAAAGAAAGAAUAAAAACAAAAAAAGACAUCCCUCCUUUUUCCUUUUGCAAUUAGCUUCUUUUCUUUCUAUUUCGAUUUUUUUAUUUCAUUCCUAUUCUCCUUUCUCAGAAAAAGGGUCUUUAACCAAAGUAAAAGAUUACUUCGUUCUUGAUAGUUAGUUACUUACUCAGUGGAUAGGAACAUACUCUGGAUCAGAAUCAUGGGGAGUACUUCUUGAUCAUUUCUACGAACGUAAAGCCCCAAUUUGAAUUCCUUUUAUGUACAGAAAUAUCCUCUUGGAUAACUUACAUAAUCUCAAUUACUAAUCCUUUGUGUAUCUUAGUCUUCCUAACCAUCCACUCAUUUUUUGUUUCAAAAACCUCCCGUUGUGGAAAUCCAUCUAUGGUAAUAGACAGUAAAAACUCCAUAGAGUUGGUCUUUUGAACCCGCUUCAAGCUAUCAUGACAAUUCACGAAUCUUGGGGUAAACAAUCUCUCUUGCUUAUGUUUACUUUUUUCACCAUUUGAUUCUUGUACAUAGGAAAUGAGACUCAACUUUUUUACUGCAAAUUUAGAAGCCGUUUUCUUUCACUCAUAUAACUAUCUGAUUUAGUUCAUCAACUCAAAUGCUGAAGAAAAAAAAUAUAUAUAAUCAAUCAAAUCUUUUUAUCCUUGUUUCUAGAAAGAAAAGAAUUUGGAUAAAUUUUAGGUCUCACCGAAUCACACGUAGAGAUAUUGAUAACACACAUAGAGCUAAUGGUAUUUCAUAACUAAUUGAUUGAGCAGCUGCCCGUAGACCACCUAAAAAGGAAUAUUUAUUAUUUGAUCCAUACCCCGACAUAAGAAGUCCAACGGGAGCAAUACUUGAAAUGGCAAUCCAAAAAAAAACACCAAUACUAAGAUCGGCUAGAACAAGGUGAUCACCAAAAGGAAUUACUGAAUAACUUAGAAAGAUAGAUAUUACUGCUAUGGAUGGUCCGAUACUGAAUAAACGAGUAUCUCCUGUAGAUGGAAUAAGGUUCUCUUUCAAAAGUAGUUUUGUCCCAUCUGCUAGAGCUUGAAGAAUUCCUAACGGGCCGGCAUAUUCAGGCCCAAUACGUUGUUGUAUUCCUGCAGAUAUUUCUCUUUCUAACCAAACAAUUACUAGUACACCUAUUGUGAUUCCUAAUACAAGAGUCACAAUAGGGACAAGCAUCCAUAUGAUCCCAUAGACUUCUUUUAAGGAUUCCAAUUUGGAAAAAGAAUUGAUAGUCUCUAUUUCUGUUGUAUCAAUUAUCAUUUCAACGAUCAACUUCUCCCAUAAUGAUAUCUAUGCUACCUAGUAUUGUCAUAAUAUCAGCCAAUUUCAUUCUUUUAACUAACUGAGGAAGAAUUUGCAAAUUGAUAAAACCUGGUGGGCGAAUUUUCCAUCUCCAAGGAAAAACGCUCUGAUCUCCUAUCAGAAAAAUCCCCAAUUCUCCUUUUGGGGCUUCAACUCUCACAUAAAGUUCUUGUUUCGACAAUUCAAAAGUUGGAGAAGGCUUUUUACUAAUAAACCGAUAUUCAAAAUCAUUCCAUUCAGGAUCUUUUAAUCUGUCAAAACGUCGCAUUUCUAAAUUUUCGUAAGGCCCCCCUGGAAUUCCUUCCAGAGCCUGUUGAAUAAUCUUUAUGGAUUCUGUCAUUUCACCGAUUCGUACUAAAUAACGAGCUAAUGAAUCCCCUUCUCGUUGCCAUUGAACCUGCCAAUCAAAUUCGUCGUAAGACUCAUAAUGAUCAACUUUACGAAGAUCCCAUUCUAUUCCGGAAGCUCGUAGCAUUGGUCCCGAUAAACCCCAAUUUAAUGCCUCGUCUCUCCCAAUAAUGCCUACGCCUUCAACUCGUUCUAAAAAAAUAGGAUUCCGAGUAAUAAGUUUUUGAUACUCAGCAACCCCUGUUAAAAAAUAAUCGCAAAAAUCCAAACAUUUAUCUAUCCAGCCAUAGGGUAGAUCGGCAGCCACUCCUCCAAUCCUAAAAUAAUUAUGCAUCAUUCGCAUACCGGUGGCAGCUUCGAAUAGGUCAUAUAUCAAUUCUCUUUCUCUAAAAAUAUAGAAGAAAGGGGUCUGUGCACCAAUAUCCGCCAUAAAAGGACCGAGCCAUAACAAAUGAGAAGCUAUCCGACUCAACUCCAACAUAAUGACUCUGAUAUAGCUAGCCCUUUUAGGUACUUGAAUAUUGCCUAAUUGUUCGGGUCCAUUUAUGGUUAUUGCUUCUGUGAACAUAGUAGCUAAAUAAUCCCAACGUGUUACAUAAGGCAAAUAUUGUAUAAUUGUUCGGUUUUCCGCAAUUUUCUCCAUCCCUCUAUGUAAAUAACCCAAUAUUGGUUCGCAGUCGACAACAUCUUCACCAUCUAGAGUAACGAUGAGUCGAAGAACACCGUGCAUUGAUGGGUGCUGAGGCCCCAUAUUGACUAUCAUGAGGUCUUUUCUUGUAGUUGGUGCAGUCAUAAGUUUUUUAACGAUUCAUUCUUCCAUGAAUUACUGAAAGUGAAAAGAAGUUCAUCAAAAUUUAAUCGAAACAUAUAAGUGAAAAUGAAAUAACUCUUCAAAUUAAUCAAAUUAACGAGUUUUUGUCUCUCGAAUGUCCAACCGAUUAAUUAAUUCUUUAUAACGUACUCUAUUUUUUUUUGCCAAAUAAGCUAGCAGUCGUUGACGUUUUCCCAAAAUUUUCUUCAAACCUCUCUGAGAUAAAUAGUCUUUUUUGUGCAAUUCUAAAUGUGAAGUAAGUCUUCGUAUCUUAUUGGUGAAAUUGAAUACUUGAAAUUCAACAGAUCCUUUCUUUUCUUCUUGAGAAAUAACUGAAAUGACAGAAUUUUUUACCAUAAAUGAAUUUCCCCUUUCUUUAUUUUACAGAUAUGGAUUUUUUCGAAUUUUAUUGAUCAGUAAUAAUAAUGCCAGUAAUUUAAACGUGGUAUAUAGACUUAAUUUCUUUAUGAACCUCUAAUUUUAGCAAUUCCAAUAAAUUAAUCAAAUUUCAAAUUUGAUUCAGAUAGGAAUCCAAAAAGACGGUAGGUACGUUUUUUUUAAUCACAAAAGCGAAUAAUUGAAACCUAAAAUCCUAAAAUGAAGAAGAUUCUGUUGAUUCAUUUCUAGAUCUAAUCAAUACCUUAUUUUAUUGAUUUAGUAUUGUCUACUCGAAUUAGAUUCGAAUGAGAUGUAAAACAAGGCAUGUUUGCAUUUAUUUGCUUUCAGAUACUCUAUACGAGACAGGGUAUAUAGUACUAUCAAUUAAUUUUCAAUCGUGGAUACAUAUGUAUCCUUAAGAUACUGAAACGGCUACCAUUAUUGGUAUCAAACCAAUAACGAUUCAUACAAGCUAAAUCUUCUAAUCGAUAAUUAGGCCAAAAAAAGAACUUAAAUUUAAUUAAUUCAUUUUUAUCUUUAUAAAGGGGUUUCCGUUCACCCAAAAAUUGACUCCAGUUUUUUACAUUGGUUUCGUUGCAAAAUACUGAAUUUCUAUCGACGACAUUCCAAUUCCAAGAAUUAAAAAAACUUCGAAUUCUCAACUCUCUACGACGUCUAGACCAUAAAAUAUUUUCAGGAACAAGCAAACCAAAAUGAGUUUUUUCUGUAUUUAUUCUUUGAGUUUGAGGUUGCAGAAUGAAUUCGUCAAAAUUCUUUUUAUCAACAUAUCUUUGUUCUCGGUAUCUUUGAUUAGUUUGGUGUUUACUUUUAUGAACCAAUGAAAUACCUAUGGUUUGAUACAUAAUAAAUUGUCCAUUAUCUUUUACAGACAACCGAAUAGGUUCGAUAAUCAAUACCCCCUUCUUCAUCAAGUCUGUAAGAGGUAAAUUUGCCUGAAUCAGCAUUAUAUCCAAACUCAUUUCUCUCCUUUGAAUUGACGAUAUAGUAAUUUUGGUUGGAUUUAUCAGUCGAAGCAGGAGACAAUAUACCUUGAUAUUUUCGAACAUUCUUUGAUUCAAAGCACCGUUCCAUCUCAAUUGAAAAAGCAAAUAACGUUUCAAGAACAAAUCUAGUUCUGCUUCCGUGUUGCUUUUGUAUUGUUUUUUAUUUUUACCCUUUUUUGUGUCUGAUUCCACGUAAUCUUUUUCAAGAUCGGUUUGAUGUUUUGAAAAAACAGGGCUCAGAUUUCCUUUGUUUUCUAUAUCUGAUCCACGCUCUCUUUGACUUGGGGGUUCUUUUGCUUCUUGACUUCGAUUCUUUAUUUUUAUUUUUUUAUUUGAUGGUAGAAAAAAGUUUUGGUUUUUAUUUUGACUAACAUUUUUAUUUGUAUUCAAAUUAAAAAGAAGGAAUUUGCUUGGUAUAAUCCACGGUUUUAUUUUAUAGACAUUAUAAAGUAGUACAAAUUCUGGGAAGAACCAAAAUUCCAGAUUCAAUAUGGGACGAUUAAAUAUUUUUUCAUUCAUUCCCAUCCAAUCAAAAAAGACUUUUUUCGAAUUUUUUUGAGUUUUUUCUGGAUGUUGAUGAGUUGUAAGAUAAAAAACCCCCUUUUUCUCAAUUUUAUCAAUUAUUUGAUAAUUAUUAAUACCAAUUUUAGUAUUUGGAUUACUGUUGGUAUCGAUCUUAACCCAGGCUUCAAUAUCUCCUUUUUGUCUAAGAGAAAAAUGGAUAAUUUUCCAAUCAAAAUAUUUUCUAUCGAGAUUUCUUUCUCUAUCUAGAAUAUUGCCCUUUCUUAGAUAAUUAUUGAUAUGAAGAUUGCCGGGCAUAUCAACAAAGUUGUGUUUGGACGUGUUGGAAUUAUACGAAAUUUCUAAGUUCUUCUUUACUUGAACUUCAAAGGGUAAUCUAGAAAAAAAUGAGUCACUUUUAUUUUCAUAAUUAAUCGAUUUAUAUGCUAAAAGACCAUAUCCAUAACAUUUUUUAAAAUUAUCUUUUUCGUUUGAUAAUGAAUAGAGUUCCGAAUCAUUUUCUUUUUUGUAAUGAAGUAAUUGGUCUUUUUCAUAUGAAUUCCAUUUGUUUAAGUUUCUAUUUUUAUUUUGAGCCAUACAACUUUGAUUAACCCUAGUUCGCCAUUUUUUUGGCAUUAAUCUAGACCAUCUAAUCUGAGAUAAAUCGUAUUGAUAAUGCCAUCUUAACCAGUUUUUCCAUUGAUUUAUUCUAUAACUCUGAAGUUUCUUAUCUUUUAAUUCCGAAUGAAAUAUUCCUAGUGUUUUAAAAUAGUCCUUUAUUUUAGUCUUAAGGAAACAAGACGUUGUGUUAUAUUGAAGAACAGAUCUAAAUUUAGAAAAAUUAAUAACUUGGGUUUGUGAUAAUUUGUAAAAUACAUAUGCUUGUGACAAGUAGGAUAAAUCACACAAAAUAUGUGAAUUUUUCUUACUAAUAUUAUAAAGUGACUUUUUUAUAGUCGAAAUAAACAUAAAGUGAAUUUUUUUUUUAUUAUUAAUUUUUUCUUGAUUUAUUUCAUUAUUGGAGAUGAAUUUCUCAAUCAAUUUGUUUGUUGAUUUAAGAAAGAGUUGUGUAGUAAUUCUAGGAAUAUUAAUGAUAGAUAAAAAUAAAUUGAUGUAUAAUCUUUGAAUGAAUAAUUUUAGAAAAUAAUGGAAUUUCCAUAUUACUCGAGUAUUUCUGCUUUUUAAUAUUUGGAAAAUUUUUUUUGGCGAUUCGAAUUUUUUAAUAUUAUUUGUUUUAUUAGGAUUAAUGUCUAUUUCUGGAGUUACUUUCUUUUUCUCUUUUGUAAUUCUUUCUAUUUUAUUUUUGAUUGUACUUGUUCUAUCAGUCAAAUCCUUCAUUUUUGU
rnacentral:lncRNA from 1 species